GGGCCAUUAGCUCAACUGGUAGAGCAACGGACUCUUAAUCCGUAGGUCGAAGGUUCGAGUCCUUCAUGGCCCACCA
rnacentral:tRNA from 1 species